rnacentral:rRNA from 1 species
UACGUAGGGUGCGAGCGUUACUCGGAAUUACUGGGCGUAAAGCGUGCGCAGGCGGUUAUGUAAGACAGAGGUGAAAUCCCCGGGCUCAACCUGGGAACUGCCUUUGUGACUGCAUGGCUAGAGUGCGGCAGAGGGGGAUGGAAUUCCGCGUGUAGCAGUGAAAUGCGUAGAUAUGCGGAGGAACACCGAUGGCGAAGGCAAUCCCCUGGGCCUGCACUGACGCUCAUGCACGAAAGCGUGGGGAGCAAACAGG